AGUGGGGUUCUGUGGCCGCGACACCAGAGGUGUGGGGGCACUGAGUGUUGUGGGGGCUCGGCCUGGGGAGAGGGAGUGGGCGUGUGGCUGUGUUCGGGGGGUGCGCGGGAUUGAUGGGCAGAAGUGGCCUGCCAGAGGAGGGAGGGUUGUGUGACUGGGCUGUGGAGUCCUGGAGGAAGUAAAUGUAUAGAAAUGGGGAAACUGUGUUUAGCUCAUGGAAACUUGUAAAAGAAUCGAUAGAGAGAAUGGGGUGCUUUAGCCUGGAGAAGGGGAGGCUCAGGGGUGAACUUACCCCUGACAGGAGGGUAGACCCUGGUCGGGGUCGGUAAAAAGUGAGGGGACCAGAGGACACGGCCUUAACCUGCACCAGGGGAGAUUUAAGCUGGACAUUAGGAGGAAUUUCUUCACAGAAGAGGGUAAUUAGACAUUGGAAUGGGCUGCCCAGGUAAGUGGUGGAGUCACCGUCCCUGGAGGUGUUUAAGGAAAGAUUGGACGUGGCACUCAGGCUGUGGUCUGGUUGACACGGUGGGUGAUUGUUCAUGGGUUGGAGUUGCUGAUCUCAGAGGUCUUUUCCAACCUAAUGAAUUCUGAGAUUCUUUGAAACUGAGGCUGAACAGGCAGCAAGGAACAGAUGUGUCUUUUGUGAGUGGCACCUAAGCUUGAUUACAAGCAUAAAAUUUAGGGUGACCAUGUGUGGGACACAGAGGGCUCUGUCUGUGAGGGACAAGUGUGAAGCUGUGGUGGCUUCAUCUGCAGAGGACUGGCAGGCUCCUGUUAUGGGAGACUGUGUGGAACUAGACUUGUAGAUGGAGUGGGUGGUGGUUGUGGUGUUGGGGAGUCAGCCUGUAAAAGUCUGGCUAGAAAGAGAUGCGCUUGUGUGGUUUGUAGAAUCAGGAGCUGAUGUUUGGGCUCCUGGGGCUGAGGUAGAGGGUCAGCGACUUGAAGACAUUGGGGUGGAGCUGACAGCCUGGCCUGGUGGAAAUUUAGGACCUGACAAUUUAGCUCCAGGAGUGUCUACAAAAGGAAAUUUAAAAACAAGCUGUUUGCCAAAAUAUCAGACAAGUCAAACUGAACUCAAGGUGCCUGUAGCUGUUGCUUCUGUUUCCAUGGAUCCGGAUAGAAGUGUGGGAAAUCUGACAGGGCAGCAGGUCAGUAAAGGCAAAUUUUUAUUGCUCUUAAGACUUAGUACAAAAACGUCAGAUUUUAUAUU
rnacentral:lncRNA from 1 species